GCGGGGGCAGGGGCGGCGGCGGCCGGAGCUUACCGAAAGAUUGGAGGUUCUGGAUAGUGGACAUGCGAUACUAGUGUGAGGCCGGUGAGGGGAUAAAAUUCCUGCGGGGCCCGCCCGGAUCACCGUGUCUGGAGGCUGCAGUGGCGAGGAAACGUAAAUAAAUACGGAGACGCUUCGCCCCGGGGUUGGGAUUCGGCUGCAGCGGCGGCGGCGGCGGAAGCCGGGAGGAGGCAGGAAGAGGCGAAGGAGGAGGCGGAGGAAGAGGCGGCGGCCACGGAGGCAAAGACGCGAGAGAAGAGGCGGCGCUGUGGCUUCUCCCACAAAAUGGCCGAUGGAGGCUAUUUAGCCGCGCCCGCCGCCCCUCCCUCGCGACCCACCCGCGCCAGGCAUCCUGGGACUUGUAGUUUUGUGGAGGCGGCCGAGCCCGUCCAACCUGGGGCGGGCGGGCUUUCGGGACCGCAAUUCCCGGCAGGGAGCACGCCCUCCGGCGCGGGCAGCCAGAACUGGAAGGGUUCAGGGGGCUGCGGGGCUGUCGGGGCCGAGUCCGCAGGUUUGCGGGGGCUGCGCGCUCCCCUCGCUCUCCUCCUCUCGCCGUGUAGCGGCGGCGCCGAGGGCUCGGCGGAGGGGGACGUUCUUAGUCGCCGUCGAGGCUUGGGGUACCGUCUGCGGCGUGACCCGGGACUUGGCGAAUCUAACAAGCUGCCGGCAGAUGCGGCCGCUCCUGGUCUGGGGGCUUCGCCCGGGCCCCGACCUCCCGCGGGGGCCAGUAGGUGUCCUCGGGGCACAGCGGGAGACCAGCCUGUCUGCUGGACCCGAACCUUCGGUAGGAUCGGCGCCCCACGGAAAUGGGAGGAUAAAAACAUACCAGUUGUGCCGGAGGAAUGACUUUGCCUGGCCCUGAGCUGCAGGAGAUGUUUUUCUUGGGCCCUCAUAAAGGGGACACUGUGAUGUAGUGGACAGCACCCCCAGCAGUUUGCCUCCCGUGAAGACAAUGAUGACGAAAAUGAGACUUGAAGUUUAUCACUUUCACAAAAAAAUAAGCUUAUUACUUCUUCAAGAACACGUAGUAAGUGCCAUAGUUGGGAUUUGAACCCAGGUUUGUCUGCCUCCAAAUUCCAUGUCCUUACUCCUAUAUCCUUACUCCUUUAUGGAGGUUAAGCAUACAGUUUGAGCCAUACUAUGUUUAUUAGUAUUUUUACAGGGAAAGAAUAAGCAAAUCUGGCCAAUUGAAAACAUGCAAAACGUGGGACUGGUGAAGUAGUUUCAGUGGUUGCUGAUAAAUGACUUAGAAUAACUCACAAAAAUAGAAGUCACUAAAGGGGAGCCCUGGGCGGCUCAGUCAGUUGAGCAUCUGCCUUCGGCUCAGGUCAUGAUCCUGGGGUCCUGCAAUUGAGCCCUAUAUCGGGCUUCCUGCUCAUCAGGGAGUCUGCUUCUUCCUCUCUCUCUCCCUUUGCCCCUCCCCACUGCUUGUUCUCUCUCUCAAAUAAAAAAGUAUACACCAAAGCUAAGUUUUCAUAAUGCUGGGGUUUUCAUUGAUAACAAAUUAGGUAUAAAGCCAUAGUGUUCUAAUUGAUUGGAAAUAAAAAAGCAUUGGCUCUCCCCUUCAUCAUAACCAAAGUCAUAUUUCUCAGUUCCGUAACGUUAUCCAGCUUCUGAAACAGUCCUGAACUUCCUCCCUCUGCAAAGAGUACAAGUGAGUCCGUUGACCCAGGUGAGCAUUUAUCAGUCAGCCUUUAUUGAGUGCCUCCAGCAUGCUUUCGUACCCUGCCAGGUGCUGUGACAAGAGACCUAUAUUUGAAUCAAUUAGGGAGUAAUUCAGUAUGUGCUGGAAGUCAAAGGUUGAAACUACAAGCCUACUGAUUAUUUUUUUUUCCUACUGAUUAUUUUUGAAAAAGUGAAUUCAUGUCAUAUUUUUUUAUAACAUAUACUUAUUCUUGAGUGCAUGGGUGGCUUAGUGGAUGAGUGUCUGCUUUUGUCUCAGGCUGUGUUCCCAGGUUCCUGGGAUCGAGUCCUGCAUCAGGAGCCUGCUUCUCUCUCUGACUAUGUCUCUGCCUCUCUCUCUGUGUCUCUCAUGAAUAAAUAAAUAAGAGAAUAAAUAUAUUUUUAUUUUUUAAGAGAUUUUUUAAAGAAUAUAUGAAUUUUUAGCUUAUCUUUACAAACAAAAUUCAGAAACACUGGUAGCAAUUGUUCUACCUUAGCUGAGGGACAGUUUUUCAAUUUGUCACAAUGCCUAUUAUAUCUUACUGUCCCUUUAACAUGGAUGCUGAAUGCCCAUUGCUAUUGCCAUUAUCAGUUGUCCAGAACAUCGCCUGACUGACUAAAUGCUGGUGGCCUUGGUUUGCAGCCUCUUGCCAGAGAUUUAGAGAAGGCAUUAUAGAUGCCUUUUUAAAUGCAUUUUCUUUAGCUCGAGCUUCCUGAGAGUCAAGGGGUAGACGGGAGGAAAUGCAAUAGAUUUUAAAAUGUAGGACUGAUUUUGGAAGAGGAUCUAUAGUUGGCUAUCAAAACUAGAUGUCGAGAGGGAAGUAUUGGUCAGAGGAGUAUUUCAGAAAAGAAAUAUAGGUCAGGGGGAAGAAAAUCAGUUACUUUGGUAAAGAUAGGCAAACAUACAUGGAAGGAGGAGGGAGGAAUGGAGGAAGGACAGGGAGGAAAAGGCAGGCAGGAUGCUCUGUGGAAAUGAUUGCAUCCAUAUGAUAAUAAAAGUGAGGAAAUCCAAUACACAGUGGACACUUACGCAAGUAGAAUUUAGGACUUGGUCAGAUAGAGGCUCACCCAUUGUUUUUAAAAAGGUAAAUUAGCUGUCACAUUUCACAUGAAAAUUCAGAUUUCUAUCUUAAAAAAAAAAAUCUACACUGACAGCUUAUCUUAAAAAAAAUCACUUCUCAGCCUUUUGGCUAAGAUCAAGUGUAAAAAAAAAAAAUCAGUCAAGGCUGAUCUGUAGAUACUUCACUUCCAAUUGCCCAAGCAGUGGGGUCAGGUGAAUGAAAUUAUGAUGGAAAAAAACAAUCAAUGAGUUAAAAUAUUAAAAAAGGAGGUGGAGCCAAAUGUGACCUGGAUUGUUCCACCUUAGAGGACAUUUUGGGAAAGAGUUAGUGCCAAGUGAGAGGGUAGAGUCACGAAAGAAGGAACAUGUGUUUUGUAUUAAAAAGUUAAAUUGAACCUUUUGGCUCAAGAGAGCAUUUGGUGGUACAGAAUUUUUGGCUCCUCUUCUGACUUGGGUUAGUCCAGCAUAUAUAAUACAUCAGCAGUUGCCAUUCUGUCUUGUUUAGCUGUUCUGUGCACUGGGAUUUGUGGCAGAGAUUGCAAAUUGCUACUUAAGCUCCAUUGAACCCUUCUUUCUUAGUGAAACAGAGUUCCAGUUUUAUUCUGGGUUGCAAUGUGCUCAGCUAAAAGAAUAUACUACAUUUCAGCCUUCCUUGCUAGAUGUGACCAAAGCAACAUAGGCAGAAAUGUUGAGUGGGCUCUCCAAAAAAUCACUUAAAGGAAGAAGACUCAGUUCAGAAAAGUGUCCAUUUGCUCUCCUUUUUUCUUCCUUCCUGCUCCCUAGAAUGGAGACAGGAUGCUGGAAGCACAACAGCCAUCUUGGACAAUGAGGUGACCUCGCCAUUUGGAUGUGCUGCAGAAGUGGCGUAGAAUGAUAGAGGGAGCCUGGGGCUAUGGACUUCCCAUCUCUGAUCUUCUUACUUGACACAUGUUUAAGCCUGUGCUAUUUUGGGUUUCCAGUGAAAUGAAGUGGAACCCAAUCUUUUGAAGAGUGCUGCUGUGUGAAUGGAAACCCCAGGACUUAAGGAAGCUAGGCACACACUUUCCUAGUGCCCCGUGUCAGUGCUGUCUGUGGCAUGGAUUAUACCUUCUAUGCUAAGUGAUCCAGCAGAAUUGUGCCUGCUACAAUGUGGGUUGUAGGAGGACAUGCUAGAAGUAAACUGACAGUAGAUUGUGUCUCCUCACACUUCAGAGGCCACUGGCAGGGUAGAUGUCCAGCAACUGUCUUGGGCUCAUCACAUCUUUGCAAUAAACAACAGUGACCGACAAUGGCCUAUGGGAGUUUUAAAUGAGAGUUGAUCGAAUUUAGCCUUGUUUAUUAUCUGCUUUGUAAACUAUACACCUGGACUCUCACCAUGAAACUGGAAGUAGAGUUCCUAAAGUUCAAGUUUAAAAAGUCUUAAAUCAAUAAACAUUCUUUGUUUUUUAUAAUUUGGUUAUAUAUAUUGGAGGGUUGACCUCCAGCUGAUGUCCAUAACUGCAUCCAUACAUGCUGCUAAAUUAUUAAAAUGCUUUCGUGGUGCUUGGCAAAUAGGUACUGCCCAGCCUCCAUGCACCUGCUCCUCCCUUUGCACCUCUUAGACCAUUGCAUGAACAAGCAGCUGAAAGGCAGAUGCCCCACUGGCAACAAGGUCUUCCUUGAUUUAGUCACUAUCCACUUUUAAAAUUAGGCAUUUGAGCUCACAGUGUUCAUUUUCCCGGCUGUGUGUUCAUUGCUGCCCAAUUUUUGUCAGUAUUUUGAUUGAAACAUGGUGGAGGGAGGUGUUCUAGAUUUUCCAGAGCCCAACCCUGGAUCAAAUCAGGUCAGCAGAGGAACUGAAAAUGUGUUUUAUUUCAGUUUGUUCCUACCCCUUCUCACCCUCUCGAGAACUGGUCUUGCUGAAUUGUGUUUUGGGGUGAUGUCAUCAGCCUGUGCUGAGAGACAGGAGGAAACGCCGCAAAUGACACUCAUUGUCAUCUGUCUUACAGAAUGUUGUCAAGCUGUGUUUUUUGUAUCAGCAUCUAUUUAUGAGAAUCCUCAGAGACUUGCCUAACUGGUUUUAGAAGCAAAAACUGUUGUAUUACUCCUGGAAAGAUGUUCUUUUUAAUCUUAUGAACCUGUCUAUAAGUGUCCAGUUUGCUUUUCUCCCUGUCUUCGUAAGGGUACUUACAACCAUUCUGGAACGAACAAAGAAAUGAAGGAAGGGAGAAAAUACUUAAAGUUAUGAAAAAUCAAAGCAGACAGAUGAUGAAAGGAACAUAGGCGUUUUGUGUUUUCUCCUCAGUGGAAUUUCAACAUUAACUUAUCACAAAUUUAUACUGAGUAAAUAAUUACUUCACUUUUCAAAGCUCUGAGGUACAAACAGUGAGUACCUGAAGAGGAUAUUCUCUUUAAGUGCCAAAUCUACAGACUUCUAAUUUCUCCUUACCAACAUGUUUUUAGAAAUAACUAGCACAGUUAGGGCUUUGUAGAA